rnacentral:misc_RNA from 1 species
GAUGAAGAACGUAGCGAAAUGCGAUAAGUAAUGCGAAUUGCAGAAUUCAGUGAAUCAUCGAAUCUUUGAACGCACAUUGCGCCGCUAGUAUUCUGGCGGGCAUGCCUGUCUGAGCGUCAUUUCAACCCUCGCCCCCGGCUUUUGCUGGGAGCGGUGUUGGGGAUCGGCCGCCCGUCACUGGGAGGCCGGCCCCGAAAUAGAGUGGCGACCACGCCGUGUGCUCCUCUGCGUAGUAGUAAAUCACCUUGCAGGCGGACAGCGGUGCGGCCUGCCGUAAAACCCCCAACUCUUUCUGGUUGACCUCAGAUCAGGUAGGAAUACCCGCUGAACUUAAGCAUAUCAAUAAGCGGAGGA